GAGUUUGAUCCUGGCUCAGGACGAACGCUGGCGGCGUGCCUAACACAUGCAAGUCGAACGGACGAGGAGGAGCUUGCUUCUCCAAGUCAGUGGCGGACGGGUGAGUAACGCGUGAGUAACCUGCCCUUCAGAGGGGGAUAACGUCUGGAAACGGACGCUAAUACCGCAUGACAUAUUUCCAUCGCAUGGUGGAGAUAUCAAAGGAGCAAUCCGCUGAAGGAUGGACUCGCGUCCGAUUAGAUAGUUGGCGGGGUAACGGCCCACCAAGUCAACGAUCAGUAGCCGACCUGAGAGGGUGAUCGGCCACAUUGGAACUGAGACACGGUCCAAACUCCUACGGGAGGCAGCAGUGGGGAAUAUUGCACAAUGGGGGAAACCCUGAUGCAGCAACGCCGCGUGAAGGAAGAAGGUCUUCGGAUCGUAAACUUCUGUCCUAGAGGAAGAUAAUGACGGUACUCUUGGAGGAAGCCCCGGCUAACUACGUGCCAGCAGCCGCGGUAAUACGUAGGGGGCAAGCGUUAUCCGGAAUUAUUGGGCGUAAAGAGUGCGUAGGUGGUUACCUAAGCAGGGGGUGAAAGGCACUGGCUUAACCAAUGUCAGCCCCCUGAACUGGGCUACUUGAGUGCAGGAGAGGAAAGUGGAAUUCCUAGUGUAGCGGUGAAAUGCGUAGAUAUUAGGAGGAACACCAGUGGCGAAGGCGGCCUGCUGGACGACAACUGACGCUGAKGCGCGAAAGCGUNGGGAGCAAACAGGAUUAGAUACCCUGGUAGUCCACGCUGUAAACGAUGAAUACUAGGUGUGGGGGGACUGACCCCCUCCGUGCCGCAGUUAACACAAUAAGUAUUCCACCUGGGGAGUACGAUCGCAAGAUUGAAACUCAAAGGAAUUGACGGGGGCCCGCACAAGCAGUGGAUUAUGUGGUUUAAUUCGACGCAACGCGAAGAACCUUACCGAGGUUUGACAUCCCACUAACGAAGUAGAGAUACAUUAGGUGCCCUUCGGGGAAAGUGGAGACAGGUGGUGCAUGGUUGUCGUCAGCUCGUGUCGUGAGAUGUUGGGUUAAGUCCCGCAACGAGCGCAACCCCUAUUGUUAGUUGCUACGAAAGAGCACUCUAGCGAGACUGCCGUUGACAAAACGGAGGAAGGCGGGGACGACGUCAAAUCAUCAUGCCCCUUACGCCUCGGGCUACACACGUAAUACAAUGGCGGUCAACAGAGGGAAGCGAAUCGGCGACGAAGAGCGAAUCCCAAAAAGCCGUCCCAGUUCGGAUUGCAGUCUGCAACUCGACUGCAUGAAGUUGGAAUUGCUAGUAAUCGCGGAUCAGCAUGCCGCGGUGAAUACGUUCCCGGGCCUUGUACACACCGCCCGUCACACCAUGAGAGUCGGGAACACCCGAAGUCCGUAGUCUAACCGAAAGGAGGGCGCGGCCGAAGGUGGGUCUGAUAAUUGGGGUGAAGUCGUAACAAGGUAGCCGUAUCGGAAGGUGCGGCUGGAUCACCUCCU
rnacentral:rRNA from 1 species